AGGGCACCACCAGGAGUGGAGCCUGCGGCUUAAUUUGACUCAACACGGGGAAACUUACCCGGCCUGGACACUGGAAGGAUUGACAGAUUGAGAGCUCUUUCUUGAUUCAGUGGGUGGUGGUGCAUGGCCGUUCUUAGUUGGUGGAGCGAUUUGUCUGGUUAAUUCCGAUAACGAACGAGACUCUAGCCUAUUAAAUAGGCUCUCGGCUUUUAAACGCCGGGAGGACUUCUUAGAGGGACAGGUGGCGGUUCAGCCGCACGAAAGAGAGCAAUAACAGGUCUGUGAUGCCCUUUGUUGUCCGGGGCCGCACGCGCGCUACACUGAAGAGAUCAGCGUGCUUUACGUUCCUGCUCCGACCGGAGUGGGGAACCCAGUGAACCUUCUUCGUGAUUGGGAUAGAGGAUUGUAAUUAUUCUUCUUGAACGAGGAAUUCCCAGUAAAUGCGAGUCAUAAGCUCGCGUUGAUUACGUCCCUGCCCUUUGUACACACCGCCCGUCGCUACUACCGAUUGAACGAUUU
rnacentral:rRNA from 1 species